rnacentral:rRNA from 1 species
UGCAAGUCGAGCGGAUGACAGGAGCUUGCUCCUGAAUUCAGCGGCGGACGGGUGAGUAAUGCCUAGGAAUCUGCCUGGUAGUGGGGGACAACGUUUCGAAAGGAACGCUAAUACCGCAUACGUCCUACGGGAGAAAGCAGGGGACCUUCGGGCCUUGCGCUAUCAGAUGAGCCUAGGUCGGAUUAGCUAGUUGGUGAGGUAAUGGCUCACCAAGGCGACGAUCCGUAACUGGUCUGAGAGGAUGAUCAGUCACACUGGAACUGAGACACGGUCCAGACUCCUACGGGAGGCAGCAGUGGGGAAUAUUGGACAAUGGGCGAAAGCCUGAUCCAGCCAUGCCGCGUGUGUGAAGAAGGUCUUCGGAUUGUAAAGCACUUUAAGUUGGGAGGAAGGGUUGUAGAUUAAUACUCUGCAAUUUUGACGUUACCGACAGAAUAAGCACCGGCUAACUCUGUGCCAGCAGCCGCGGUAAUACAGAGGGUGCAAGCGUUAAUCGGAAUUACUGGGCGUAAAGCGCGCGUAGGUGGUUCGUUAAGUUGGAUGUGAAAGCCCCGGGCUCAACCUGGGAACUGCAUUCAAAACUGACGAGCUAGAGUAUGGUAGAGGGUGGUGGAAUUUCCUGUGUAGCGGUGAAAUGCGUAGAUAUAGGAAGGAACACCAGUGGCGAAGGCGACCACCUGGACUGAUACUGACACUGAGGUGCGAAAGCGUGGGGAGCAAACAGGAUUAGAUACCCUGGUAGUCCACGCCGUAAACGAUGUCAACUAGCCGUUGGGAGCCUUGAGCUCUUAGUGGCGCAGCUAACGCAUUAAGUUGACCGCCUGGGGAGUACGGCCGCAAGGUUAAAACUCAAAUGAAUUGACGGGGGCCGCACAAGCGUGGAGCAUGUGGUUAAUUCGAAGCA